UACGAAGGGGGCUAGCGUUGCUCGGAAUCACUGGGCGUAAAGGGUGCGUAGGCGGGUUUUUAAGUCAGAGGUGAAAUCCUGGAGCUCAACUCCAGAACUGCCUUUGAUACUGAAAGUCUUGAGUAUGGGAGAGGUGAGUGGAACUGCGAGUGUAGAGGUGAAAUUCGUAGAUAUCGUAAGGAAGACCAGUGGCGAAGGCGGGUCUCUGGACAGUUCCUGACGCUGAGGCACGAAGGCCAGGGGAGCAAACAGG
rnacentral:rRNA from 1 species